GGCGGUGUAGCUCAGUUGGUAUGAGCAUGCGGUUCAUACCCGCAGUGUCGCUGGUUCGAUCCCAGCCACCGCCACCA
rnacentral:tRNA from 1 species